rnacentral:rRNA from 1 species
UACGUAGGGGGCUAGCGUUGUCCGGAAUCAUUGGGCGUAAAGAGCGUGUAGGCGGCCCGGUAAGUCCGCUGUGAAAGUCGGGGGCUCAACCCUCGAAUGCCGGUGGAUACUGUCGGGCUAGAGUGCGGAAGAGGCGAGUGGAAUUCCUGGUGUAGCGGUGAAAUGCGUAGAGAUCAGCAGGAACACCCGUGGCGAAGGCGGCUUCCUGGGCCGCGCCUGACGCUGGAGACGCGAAAGCCGUGGGGAGCGAACGGG